GACGAACGCUGGCGGCGUGCUUAACACAUGCAAGUCGAGCGGUAAGGCCCUUUCGGGGGUACACGAGCGGCGAACGGGUGAGUAACACGUGGGAAUCUUCCUGUUGGUUCGGAAUAGCUCAGGGAAACUUGGGGUAAUACCGGAUAAGCCCGAGAGGGGAAAGAUUUAUCGCCGACAGAUGAGCCCGCGUCUGAUUAGCUAGUUGGUGAGGUAAUGGCUCACCAAGGCGACGAUCAGUAGCNGGUCUGAGAGGAUGACCAGCCACACUGGGACUGAGACACGGCCCAGACUCCUACGGGAGGCAGCAGUGGGGAAUAUUGGACAAUGGGCGCAAGCCUGAUCCAGCCAUGCCGCGUNAGUGACGAAGGUCUUCGGAUUGUAAAGCUC
rnacentral:rRNA from 1 species